rnacentral:rRNA from 1 species
CCUACGGGGGGCAGCAGUGGGGAAUAGUGGGCAAUGGGCGCAAGCCUGACCCAGCAACGCCGCGUGAAGGAAGAAGGCUUUCGGGUUGUAAACUUCUUUUCUCAGGGACGAAGAAAGAGACGGUACCUGAGGAAUAAGCCACGGCUAACUACGGGCCAGCAGCCGCGGAAAUACGUAGGUGGCAAGCGUUAUCCGGAUUUAUUGGGUGUAAAGGGCGUGUAGGCGGGAGCGCAAGUCAGAUGUGAAAACUCAGGGCUCAACCCUGAGCCGGCAUUUGAAACUGUGUUUCUUGAGUGCUGGAGAGGCAAUCGGAAUUCCGUGUGUAGCGGUGAAAUGCGUAGCUCUACGGCGGAACACCAGUGGCGAAGGCGGCUUGCUGGACAGUACCUGACGCUGAGGCGCG